rnacentral:rRNA from 1 species
AUUGAACGCUGGCGGCAGGCCUAACACAUGCAAGUCGAGCGGAUGAAGGGAGCUUGCUCCUGGAUUCAGCGGCGGACGGGUGAGUAAUGCCUAGGAAUCUGCCUGGUAGUGGGGGAUAACGUCCGGAAACGGGCGCUAAUACCGCAUACGUCCUGAGGGAGAAAGUGGGGGAUCUUCGGACCUCACGCUAUCAGAUGAGCCUAGGCCGGAUUAGCUAGUUGGUGGGGUAAAGGCCUACCAAGGGGACGAUCCGUAACUGGUCUGAGAGGAUGAUCAGUCACACGGGAACUGAGACACGGUCCAGACUCCUACGGGAGGCAGCAGUGGGGAAUAUUGGACAAUGGGCGAAAGCCUGAUCCAGCCAUGCCGAGUGUGUGACGAAGGUGUUCGGAUUGUAAAGCACUUUAAGUUGGGAGGAAGGGCAGUAAGUUAAUACCUUGCUGUUUUGACGUUACCAACAGAAUAAGCACCGGCUAACUUCGUG